rnacentral:misc_RNA from 1 species
GAUGAAGAACGUAGCGAAAUGCGAUAAGUAAUGUGAAUUGCAGAAUUCAGUGAAUCAUCGAAUCUUUGAACGCACCUUGCACCCUUUGGUAUUCCGAAGGGUACACCCGUUUGAGUGUCAUUGUAAUCUCACUACGACCACUUUAUUGUUGGUUUGUAUGUGGACUUGGAUGUUGCCGUGUAACAAACGGCUCGUCUGAAAUGCCUGAGUGUACCCUGCUUUUGCGGCGUAUUCGGUGUGAUAAAUCUUCACCGGAGUUGACUUUCGGGUCGCGCUUGUAUUGUCGGGCUCUAUGCUUCCAACCGUCCUAACAAGACAAUCUUUGACAAUUUGACCUCAAAUCGGGUGGGACUACCCGCUGAACUUAAGCAUAUCAAUAAGCGGAGGA